rnacentral:rRNA from 1 species
AAUCAACGCCGGCGGCGUGCCUCAGACAUGCAAGUCGAACGCGAAAGUUUCCUUCGGGAGAUGAGUAGAGUGGCGCACGGGUGAGUAACACGUGAGUAAUUUACCUUCGGGUGGGGAUACUAACCGGAAACGGUUGUUAAUACCGCAUAAUGCAGCGGCAUCAAUGAUGACAGUUGUUAAAGCGGGGGAUUGGAGCAAUCCGACCUCGCGCCUGAAGAGAAGCUCGCGGCAGAUUAGCUAGUUGGUAAGGUAAUGGCUUACCAAGGCGACGAUCUGUAACCGGCCUGAGAGGGCGGUCGGUCACACUGACACUGAAUAACGGGUCAGACUCCUACGGGAGGCAGCAGUCGGGAAUUUUGGGCAAUGGGCGCAAGCCUGACCCAGCAA